rnacentral:rRNA from 1 species
GAGUUUGAUCGUGGCUCAGGACGAACGCUGGCGGCGUGCCUAACACAUGCAAGUUGAGCGGAGAUAUGGAGAGCUUGCUCUUUUAUAUUUUUAGCAGCGAACGGGUGAGUAACACGUAGAUAAUUUGUCCUAUAUUGGGGGGAUAGGCCGAUGAAAAUUGGAUUAAUACCCCAUACAGCUAUUUAACCGCAUGGGGGAGAUAGUGAAAAGGGGAAACUUGAUAUAGGAGGAGUCUGCGGCACAUUAGCUAGUAGGUGAGGUAAGAGCUUACCUAGGCGACGAUGUGUAGCCGGUCU